rnacentral:tRNA from 1 species
GUCCCUAUCGUCUAGAGGCCUAGGACAUCGCCCUUUCACGGCGGUAACACGAGUUCGAAUCUCGUUAGGGACGCCA